rnacentral:rRNA from 1 species
GACGAACGCUGGCGGCGUGCUUAACACAUGCAAGUCGAACGGUAAGGCCCUUCGGGGUACACGAGCGGCGAACGGGUGAGUAACACGUGGGUGAUCUGCCCUGCACUUCGGGAUAAGCCUGGGAAACUGGGUCUAAUACCGGAUAGGACCACUGCCUGCAUGGGUGGUGGUGGACAGCGUUUGCGGUGUGGGAUGGGCCCGCGGCCUAUCAGCUUGUUGGUGGGGUGAUGGCCUACCAAGGCGACGACGGGUAGCCGGCCUGAGAGGGUGACCGGCCACACUGGGACUGAGAUAUGGCCCAGACUCCUACGGGAGGCAGCAGUAGGGAAUAUUGCACAAUGGGCGCAAGCCUGAUGCAGCGACGCCGCGUGAGGGAUGACGGCCUUCGGGUUGUAAACCUCUUUCAGCACCGACGAAGCGCAAGUGACGGUAGGUGCAGAAGAAGGACCGGCCAACUACGUGCCAGCCGCCGCGGUAA